UACAGAGGUCUCAAGCGUUGUUCGGAUUCAUUGGGCGUAAAGGGUGCGUAGGCGGCGCGGUAAGUCGGGUGUGAAAUCUCGGAGCUUAACUUCGAAACUGCAUUCGAUACUGCCGUGCUUGAGGACUGGAGAGGAGACUGGAAUUUAUGGUGUAGCAGUGAAAUGCGUAGAGAUCAUGAGGAAGACCAGUGGCGAAGGCGGGUCUCUGGACAGUUCCUGACACUGAGACACGAAGGCCAGGGGGAGCAAACGGG
rnacentral:rRNA from 1 species